rnacentral:rRNA from 1 species
AUACAGAGGGUGCGAGCGUUAAUCGGAUUUACUGGGCGUAAAGCGUGCGCAGGCGGUUGUGCAAGACAGGCGUGAAAUCCCCGGGCUUAACAUGGGAAUGGCGCUUGUGACUGCACGGCUGGAGUGCGGCAGAGGGGGAUGGAAUUCCGCGUGUAGCAGUGAAAUGCGUAGAUAUGCGGAGGAACACCGAUGGCGAAGGCAGUCCCCUGGGCCUGCACUGACGCUCAUGCACGAAAGCGUGGGGAGCAAACAGGAUUAGAUACCCUGGUAGUCCACGCCCUAAACGAUGUCGACUGGUUGUUGGGCCUUAGGUGGCUCAGUAACGAAGCUAACGCGUGAAGUCGACCGCCUGGGGAGUACGGCCGCGAGGUUGAA